UGAUGCUUGACACAACCCGACCCACACACA
rnacentral:piRNA from 1 species